rnacentral:rRNA from 1 species
UACGUAGGGGGCGAGCGUUGUCCGGAAUUAUUGGGCGUAAAGAGCGUGUAGGCGGCCAGGUAGGUCUGCUGUGAAAACUCGAGGCUUAACCUCGAGAUGUCGGCGGAAACCAUCUGGCUAGAGUCCGGAAGAGGAGAGUGGAAUUCCUGGUGUAGCGGUGAAAUGCGCAGAUAUCAGGAGGAACACCCGUGGCGAAAGCGGCUCUCUGGGACGGUACUGACGCUGAGACGCGAAAGCGUGGGGAGCAAACAGG